rnacentral:rRNA from 1 species
AAUAGAUACCCAGGUAGUCCACCCCGUAAACGUUGGGAACUAGUUGUGGGGUCCAUUCCACGGAUUCCGUGACGCAGCUAACGCAUUAAGUUCCCCGCCUGGGGAGUACGGCCGCAAGGCUAAAACUCAAAGGAAUUGACGGGGACCCGCACAAGCGGCGGAGCAUGCGGAUUAAUUCGAUGCAACGCGAAGAACCUUACCAAGGCUUGACAUAUACGAGAACGGGCCAGAAAUGGUCAACUCUUUGGACACUCGUAAACAGGUGGUGCAUGGUUGUCGUCAGCUCGUGUCGUGAGAUGUUGGGUUAAGUCCCGCAACGAGCGCAACCCUCGUUCUAUGUUGCCAGCACGUAAUGGUGGGAACUCAUGGGAUACUGCCGGGGUCAACUCGGAGGAAGGUGGGGAUGACGUCAAAUCAUCAUGCCCCUUAUGUCUUGGGCUUCACGCAUGCUACAAUGGCCGGUACAAAGGGCUGCAAUACCGGCGAGGUGGAGCGAAUCCCAAAAAGCCGGUCCCAGUUCGGAUUGAGGUCUGCAACUCGA